ensembl:lncRNA GLUD1P3 glutamate dehydrogenase 1 pseudogene 3
GGACGACUUUCAGGGGAGAGCUGGAAGAAAGACUGUCAACAGCUGAGUGCGGGCGCCGGCGCCGUCUACGCAGUGCGUUCCACCGGGUCCGUAUCCCUCCCGAUUCCGCCCCACCCCGCCCUCGGAACUCGCUGCCUCAACUCCUGCGGUGGGACUCCGGAGCAGCGUACACCGCCCUUGCCUUAGUCCUCCCCAAGGCCAGGGCAGCUGUGCGGCCUGGCGCGGGUUACUUGGUGUGGUGCAAAAAGCCAGAAGGAGACACAUUUGGUCCUGGCCACCCCGGAGUCACCCAAACCAAAAGGAUAAUGAAUUGGAAAAGAUCACAAGGAGGUUCACCAUGGAGCUAGCAAAGAAGGGCUUUAUUGUGUGGCCACAUAGAUUUUGGUAUAAAGUGGGAACAUCUAAAAAAAUCUUUUUUUUUUUUUUUUGAGACAGAGUCUUGCUCUGUCGCCAAGAUUGGAGUGUAGUGGUGCGAUCUCCUCCACCUCCCGGGUUCAAGCAAUUCUCUUGUCUAAGCCUCCCGAGUAGCUGAGACUAUAGGCAUGUGCCACCAUGCCCAGCUAAUUUUCGUAUUUUUAUAGAGAUGGGGUUUUGCCAUGUUGAUCAGGCUGGUCUUGAACUCUUGACCUCAGGUGAUCCACCCAUCUCAGAAUCCCAAAGUGCUGGGAUUACAGGCGUGAGCCACUAUGCCCGGCCUCCUACUAUUUGUAAUAGGAGAUAGGGUCAGAUAAGGGAAUAAAAGCAGGCUGCCCCAGCCAGGGGCAGCAACCAGCUCAGGUCCCCUUCCACACUGUGGAGGCUUUGUUUUUUUGCGCUUUGCAAUAAAUCUUGCUGCUGCUCACUC